rnacentral:rRNA from 1 species
UACGUAGGGAGCAAGCGUUGUCCGGAAUCAUUGGGCGUAAAGCGCGCGUAGGCGGCCUCAUAAGUCCGUUGUGAAAGUCAAAGGCUCAACCUUUGAAAGCCGAUGGAUACUGUGAGGCUAGAGUCCGGGAAGAGGCGAGUGGAAUUCCUGGUGUAGCGGUGGAAUGCGCAGAUAUCAGGAGGAACACCAAUAGCGAAGGCAGCUCGCUGGGACGGUACUGACGCUAAGGCGCGAAAGCGUGGGGAGCGAACAGG